GCUGAUAUCCUGACAAAGCAGACUGGAUUUUCUCCAAAGAACUAUUUCUAAACACGUUUAUAGUCCACAUCCUCCUUUGCUCUAUUAACCUUUCCUUUCCACUACCUCUGGUGGGUGGUGGCCUAGAAGGGAUGUUGAAGGACUUAAGAACCCUUAUUAAAAGUAGGCUUCAAAAAAAUCUAAGCCUACAGAGAGAUCACAUGGCUUGUAGUUUCUUAUCUGCUCCAUUGAAACUCCUGCUUUCUUGUCAGAUAGCAUUCUGUCAUUAUUCGUGGUCCUUGCCUCACUUACUGUCAUUUGUGACUCCCUUAUCUUUGUCCUGCUCAUGACUAACAUCAAACAUUACACUGAGAUACAUACAGAUCGAAUAAAAAAUAUGGCAUUGUAACAAUUAAUUUCCCUAUUUAAUAAAUAUUUACUAAAAUUCAUAGAAGAUUAAACAUUGAAUAAAAUAAGCAAAAAUUCUUACUAAUAUGGCAAUUAUACUCUAGGGGAACAGAAAUAAAACCAAGUUACAUGUAACAUCAUAACACUUGGAAAAUCAUGAAAUCGAUUGUAGAGCGUUGACUUGAAACUGAAGAGGAAAUAAACAGGAAGUUCUAGGGCAGCAUUUCUCAACCUGUGGGUGACAACUUUUUUGAUGUUCAAAGGAACCUUUCACAGGUGUCAUCUAAGAAUAUUGGAAAACACGGAUAUUUACAUUGUGAUUCACACAGUAGCAAAAUUAGUUAUGACAUCGCAAUGAAAAUAAUUUUAUGGUUGGGGUCACCACAAAAGGAACUGUAUUAAAGUGUCAUGCCAUUAGGAAGGUUGAGAGGCACUGCUCUAGGGGAAGCCCAGUGUAAUGGGAACAUUUGAGCUAAGAUUUGUAAGAGGUUAUUUAGAGAAAGAACUUUAUACACAGAGACAUCCAAACGUUGUGUGAAUCUCAAGAAGAAUGAGCAAGGGGCAGGGCAAGUCAGAAUACUUGAGGGAUACUUGGGCAGUCUGGAAAUAGUUUGGUUAUGGAUAUGAAAAGUGCUACACAGUUUCCUGUGCUGGAUCCUUUUUUCCCCAGCUAACAGUACUAUUCUGGGAGAUGACAUUAUGAAGUGGUACAUUGAUGGAGAAAGUAGGUUACUUGGGAGCAUGCCUUUGACAAGUAGAGCUGGUCUCUGGUUUCUUUCCCAAUGCAUUUAGGCUAGUAUGAAGUGAGUAACUUCUGUCCCAUGCUUUUACCACCAUGAUGUUAUACAUCAUCACAGGCACAGAAUCAGUGGAACAAGGAACAAAUCAUGAGUUGUUUAUGACUGGCGUUUUUUUUUUUUUUUUCCAAAACAAUGAAACAAAGUGGAAGAGUGUUAGACAAGUGAUCAUUUGGGUUCUUGUUUGAUUUUUUUUAAAAACAAAAUCUCAAUCAUUCAAUUUUCUCAGUGAAGACCUGGGAGCCAAAUGCUGGGGUGAAAGCCUGCUAGCUGAGUGGGGCAGAGAAAACACCCAGUUGACUUUCCUCCUCAUCUGAUGUCCCAGAAGUAAUGCUGCUCUCUCAUACAUCUCAAAAAACCUCCUUCAAACUGAAUGUCCCACCCUUCUAUUUUCUUUGCUUCUCUCUAUCCAUUUUCCUGAGUCCCCCUUACUCUCUCUGUUUUUUUUUCUUAAUAAUUCUGUAUUUACUUUCUGUCAACUGGUUGCUUGCUCUGCCUCUUGACUUACAUUUGAAUUUAUUUAAUCCUGUUUACAGAAACUUUUCGGAUUAAAGGUGUGUGCAAAGGCUGAGCCACAAGACAACUAAAAACAGUUUUUUCCCCCAGUAAAUAACACAAUCUUGGGGUUUACAGUAUGGUC
rnacentral:lncRNA from 1 species